rnacentral:rRNA from 1 species
UACAGAGGUCUCAAGCGUUGUUCGGAUUCAUUGGGCGUAAAGGGUGUGUAGGUGGCGCCGUAAGUCGGGUGUGAAAUUUCGGAGCUUAACUCCGAAACUGCAUUCGAUACUGCGGUGCUUGAGGACUGGAGAGGAGACUGGAAUUCCUGGUGUAGCGGUGAAAUGCGCAGAUAUCAGGAAGAACACCUAUGGCGAAGGCAGCACUCUGGGACGGUACUGACGCUGAGACGCGAAAGCGUGGGGAGCGAACAGG